rnacentral:rRNA from 1 species
GGCGAGGCCGAAAGGCGUAGUCGAUGCACAACCGGUUGAUAUUCCGGUACUACCGUGUACGCGCCCAAACCAAGUUCCGGUUGCUAAGGGGCUGUCACUUCGGUGACGAACCGACCCACUGGAAGGCGGUUAGCAAUGAGGGGACGCAGGAGGGUAGGUGAGCCCAGGCGAUGGUUGUCCUGGGGUAAGCGCGUAGGGCGAGGUCUAGGCAAAUCCGGACCUCAUGAAGCCUGAGACGCAAUGCCGAUCCGUAUGAGGAGAAGUCACUCAUCCCAUGCUGCCAAGAAAAGCCUCUAGCGAGCUUGCACGGUACCCGUACCCCAAACCGACACAGGUGGGCAGGUAGAGAAUACCAAGGCGAUCGGGAGAACUGUGGUUAAGGAACUCGGCAAAAUGCCUCCGUAACUUCGGGAGAAGGAGGACCCCAUUAGGGUGAAGGACCUCGCGUCCGGAGCUCGAAGGGGUGGCACAGACCAGGG